rnacentral:rRNA from 1 species
UACGUAGGGUGCGAGCGUUAAUCGGAAUUACUGGGCGUAAAGCGUGCGCAGGCGGCUUUGCAAGACAGAGGUGAAAUCCCCGGGCUCAACCUGGGAACUGCCUUUGUGACUGCAAGGCUAGAGUACGGCAGAGGGGGAUGGAAUUCCGCGUGUAGCAGUGAAAUGCGUAGAUAUGCGGAGGCACACCGAUGGCGAAGGCAAUCCCCUGGGCCUGUACUGACGCUCAUGCACGAAAGCGUGGGGAGCAAACAGGAUUAGAUA